rnacentral:rRNA from 1 species
GAUGAACGCUAGCUACAGGCUUAACACAUGCAAGUCGAGGGGCAGCAUGUCGGUUGCUUGCAACCGACGAUGGCGACCGGCGCACGGGUGAGUAACGCGUAUCCAACCUGGCCCAUACCACGGGAUAGCCCGUCGAAAGGCGGAUUAAUACCGUAUGCUGUCAUUAAGAUGCAUAUAUUGAUGACGAAAGGACUGGCGGUAUGGGAUGGGGAUGCGUCUGAUUAGCUUGUUGGCGGGGUAACGGCCCACCAAGGCGACGAUCAGUAGGGGUUCUGAGAGGAAGGUCCCCCACAUUGGAACUGAGACACGGUCCAAACUCCUACGGGAGGCAGCAGUGAGGAAUAUUGGUCAAUGGGCGCAAGCCUGAACCAGCCAAGUAGCGUGAGGGAAGACUGCCCUACGGGUUGUAAACCUCUUUUGUUUGGGAAUAAAGUGCGGGACGUGUCCCGCAUUGCAUGUACCAUUUGAAUAAGGACCGGCUAAUUCCGUGCCAGCAGCCG